CGUGUAGGCGGCCUUGCAAGUCGGGUGUGAAAGCCCUCAGCUUAACUGAGGAAGUGCGCCCGAAACUGCUCGGCUUGAGUACCGGAGAGGAUGGCGGAAUUCCCCAAGUAGAGGUGAAAUUCGUAGAUAUGGGGAGGAACACCGGUGGCGAAGGCGGCCAUCUGGACGGAUACUGACGCUGAGACGCGAAAGCGUGGGUAGCAAACA
rnacentral:rRNA from 1 species